AUUGAACGCUGGCGGCAUGCCUUACACAUGCAAGUCGAACGGCAGCACGGGAGCAAUCCUGGUGGCGAGUGGCGAACGGGUGAGUAAUAUAUCGGAACGUGCCCAGUCGUGGGGAUAACGUAGCGAAAGCUACGCUAAUACCGCAUACGAUCUAUGGAUGAAAGCGGGGGAUCGCAAGACCUCGCGCGAUUGGAGCGGCCGAUAUCAGAUUAGGUAGUUGGUGAGGUAAAGGCUCACCAAGCCGACGAUCUGUAGCUGGUCUGGGAGGAUGAUCAGCCACACUGGGACUGAGACACGGCCCAGACUCCUACGGGAGGCAGCAGUGGGGAAUAUUGGACAAAUGGGCGGAAAGGCCUGAUCAGCAAUGCCGCGUGAGUGA
rnacentral:rRNA from 1 species